rnacentral:tRNA from 1 species
UAGCUCAGUGGUAGAGUGCUUGCCUUGCAUGCAUGAGGCCUUGGGUUUGAUUCCUCA